UACGUAGGGCGCGAGCGUUGUCCGGAUUUAUGGUGCGUAAAGAGUCUCGUAGGCGGCUUGUGCGUUCAGCUGUCGAAAACCCGGCGAGCUCAACUGUGGGCUUGCAGCUGAUGACGGGGACAGGCGUUGAGUUCGGGUAGGGGAGACGUGGAAAUUCCUGGUGUAGCGGUGAAAGUGACGCCAGGAUAGCGAGGAGGAACGAC
rnacentral:rRNA from 1 species